GUUUGUCAUUCACACUCCUUAGGCUCUGGAUCAGUGGCUAUGUAUUAGUCAUGGGAACCAAUUAUCCAAGGGUGUUUGGUUAAGAUGGUUUUAUUGGUGCUGGAGCAUGCAGAAUGACAAUGACUAAUGGUGUCCCACAUACUAUCAUUAUUUACUUCGUCCUCCCGUGUGCCAGGAUGUUUUUGCUUGAGCUGACUUGUUUCCCUUUUUGACUCUCCUUCCUGAAAAUCAUGAUACCAUCCAGUGCAGAAGAGGACGCUGGCGUGUAGAAGAAGAGAGGGAAUAAGAGCAGAAAAAGCUGGCUGCACUACUUAAAUUACCUGCACAAGGCCUUGUUGCUUCUUGCUCGCAGACCAAGAAGUGCCCAGCCUGUCUUCUAACACCAGGUUUCUCCAAGAUAGGAGGAGGAUUUUCGUCAGAGGAAGAAACCUCCACUCCAGAUGAAAUAGGGAGCACUCACCCCUGAUCAGGUAUGGUGCUGAGCACUUUACCUGAAAUACUUUAGUUAAUUCUCACCAAAGCCUUGGUGAGGCUAAUAGUAUUUCACUAAUACUGUUAAUACUGUAUUUCCCCCUUUUUGGGCUUGAGAACAAAAGGCUCAGAGAGGUUGAGAACUUGCCCAAAACUAGAAGUAGAAAAACUGGGAUUUGUAUCCAGCUGUGUCAGGCUGCCAAGCCCAUGCACUGGGCUUUGAAUGAAAGUCCUUGCUUUCACCAGCAUUGCUCACUAGACUCAGGGUGUGCCUCAAGGAGUGCCUUCUCCAGUCCUCCUUGCCUGGAUCCUUGAGUUCUGAUAGGCAGACUCUGGCUUGUGAAGCUCUGUAGAUUGUCUCUCAUCAGGAUUUGGAGGGGGUGGGGGGUGCCUCUUAUCCUCAUCUAAGUAAUUACAUCCAUUGAUGUAAUUGACUGGAUCCUUGAGUUCUGAUAGGCAGACUCUGGCUUGCAAAGCUCUCCAGAUCACCUUUCACCCGGAUUUGGAGGGGAGAAUGCCUCUUAUCCUCAUCCAAGUAAUUACAUCCACUGGGGAUAGCAAUGAAUAAAUUAUGCCUUCUUUUGUCUAUACCCCUUUCCAAUGUGACUUUGCUGUUCACCCAUUGAGGGGUGAAGUCUAUUUCCCCACCGCCUGAAUCUGGACUGAUCCUGGGACUUGCUUUGACCAAGAGAAUGAAGUGGAAGUGAUGUUCUGAAAUUGUCAGACCAGGCCUUAGGAGGCCUUGUGGAUUCAGCCCUUGCUCUCAAAACUCAUCCCUUAUGUAAAGAAAUCUAGGCAAUCCUGCUUCAGAGAGACCACUUGGAGAGGGAGACCAUUUGGAGGAGAACUGAAGCACCCCAGCCCGCUGUCAGCAGCAAGCUUCCAGACCUGUGAAUGAGGUUCUUUUGGAUCUUCUAUUGCUAACUGUGUUUGUCUCAGCUGACCCCAUGCAGAGCAAACACAAGCCAUCCACACUGAGCCCAGACAACUUACAUAACUGGGAGCAAUGGCUGUUGUUUUAAGUCAUUAGUUUUAGGAUGGUGUGUGAUGCAGUGAUAGAUAAGCAAUACAGUACAUCAACGGAGAGGAAAGCUGUAUUAAAACCUAAAAGAAUGAUUUACUUUUCAAUAACUUUUUAAGAGUAUAAAUUGACUUAACAAUUCCACUUUUUUUCUUGGCUGAGGGUUAAUUUGUUAACAAAGAAAAAUGUUAUGAAUGCAAAGGAAAUUGAAGAAACCACUUAAUCUAAAGAAAUUAUUAUUAAAACAAAUCCAUUCAUACCCAGCAUUUCCCUAAAGUCAACAACUAAGCCAGA
rnacentral:lncRNA from 1 species